CAGUCGCCGCGGUAAAACGGAGGGUGCAAGCGUUAAUCGGAAUUACUGGGCGUAAAGCGCACGCAGGCGGUCUGUCAAGUCAGAUGUGAAAUCCCCGGGCUUAACCUGGGAACUGCAUUUGAAACUGGCAGGCUAGAGUCUUGUAGAGGGGGGUAGAAUUCCAGGUGUAGCGGUGAAAUGCGUAGAGAUCUGGAGGAAUACCGGUGGCGAAGGCGGCCCCCUGGACAAAGACUGACGCUCAGGUGCGAAAGCGUGGGGAGCAAACAGGAUUAGAGACCCGCGUAGUCCCUGUCUCUAUACA
rnacentral:rRNA from 1 species